UUUUUUUUUACAGGUCAAAACAUUUUGUGUCCUUCUUGGAGUGGUGUCUGAAGAAGGAUCCUUCAGCGAGAGGGAGUGCUGAAGAACUCCUGCAGCACCCAUUCAUCAGCCAACUGCCACCUAAGAAAAUCAUCAGGGCUGAGUUGGAAGAACAUCUCCUGACCCUGCACAACUGGCCGGCCAAGAAAGGACUGAAGGGAGUAGCUCUCUGGACCCUGAAACAGCUGCGGUGUGCUUGCACACAGACAUCGGCAGAACAAGAAGCAGCUCUGCAAAUGGCCUUGGAGGGCUUCUCCUGUUAUUAAUCUUGUGGCCAAUAACAUCAACAGCCCAGAAUGAGUUUCCUUAAUCACAGCAGAGGAAAAAGAAACAUCCAUAAGAUCAAGUGGCGUCUGCAGCUCCACCAACAUCAUCUCCUUUCAAGCUGAUGCAGUUCAGCAAGUGGUAUCUUCAAGAUUCCUGCAACUACACCAGCAGGGACUUUAUCUCCUUCUUUAGCUCCAUGAACAUAUUCUUUUAAGAGUACCCCAUCUCCACCAGUAGUGUCUUUGCUUCAGUUUAGUUUGCUCCACCCACACACAUCUACACCUAACUUUCCAACUGCCAUAGUUCCAUCCAUCUUCCUUUUUUUCCAGACUACCAUAACUCCAACAUCUUGCCUUAAGCAUCUACAUUUCACAGAACCAUAGCUCCGACAUUCACAUCCACCUCUACAGCUCCACUAGCAGCAUUCACAUUUUCAAACACCAUAACUCCACUAUUAGGACCUUAGUUUUCAUUAGUAUCCAAUUACCACAUCUCUACCCAAGGACUUUUCAUUUAACUUUAGCUCCACCACCAGCCCUUAUCCCAUAUUUAACCUCUACCCGCAAGCUCUGUCCUUGUGCUAACACAACUCCUCCAAUAUCUUCUUUUAUUUACAUAUCAUGAAGAGUUUCUCCUCUUUAAAAUAUCUUUUAAUCCUUGCCCUUCUUCCUGCACCUCCAUUGGUUCUUCCAUUCCACCAAUACCAAGAUAUUUAGUCACAACCACACACCACACACUAAAAUGAUGCCCCCUACACAGAGGCUUCUCUUCUCCACCUUUUCUUUUGCCUCCCCCCCCCUGCAAUCUCCUAACAGCAAUUCCUUCUUUCCUUUCUAAAUUCUAUCCUUUCAAGCCUUCCACUCAACAACCAGUCACAUCUCCUACUCUAAACCCUGACAUAAACUCUUAGUACUGAUACUGAAAUAAACUCAUAGUAAAAGUUGAUCCAGGGACUUGUCCGAUUGCCCUUUGGGAGUCAGGAAGGAAUUUUUCCUCCUCUGAGGCAAAUUGGCUCUGGCUUCAGAUGGGGUUUUUGCCUUCCUCUGGAUCAACUACUAAAUAGGAAGAUCCCAUUUACACUAAAAUUUGACCCUAAUGGAUGUGAGUCCUUCCCAACUUAAAUUAGUAUGAAUUAAUCUAAAAUGCAUAAAUAUAACAUCCAAUUUAUAAAUAAAUAUGUUAAUA